CUCUCCCCCACUCCACCUGGGAAGAGUGAGUGAGUGGGUGUGUGGGGUCAAGCUGCCUGCUGGGACUAAAGCACAACAGCAUUAGCAAUGCAGUCAGCAAAGACAUCGAGGCUGUCACACUGUGGUGUGACACUGUGCUGCUUCUGGUGAAAAUGGCUACAAUAUUAUAUAAAUUUCAGUGGGCCAUGAAGCUCUAGAAUCAUAGAAUACCUGAGUUGGAGGGGACCCACAAAGAUCACCAAUUCCAGCUCCUGGUUGCCCAAAGGACUACCUCAAAAAAUCAGACCACGUGUCUGAGAAUGUUGGCCAAAUGUUUCUUGAACUCCGGCAGGCUUGGUGCCAUGAUCACUGCUCUGGAGAAGAUGAAGUUCAUGAUCAUGCAAGACUCUAGACUCUUCAUGGCCAAAGAAUUGGGUUAUCUUUCCGAUUAAGAAAACUGCAAAUUCUUGUAGAGAGUAAUGGUUUUUGUGUGGCUGAACUAGUGUUUAGGGUGUGACAAAGUGGGAAUAUACUUUGAGGAUAUAUGUUAAAAAAUGAAAGUGAAUAAAUAAUGUGAAAAAGACUAGGCUGCACUGUGAAUUUGUUGUGAAGGAUUGGUGACAUUGUGAAUAAUGUUCUGUCACAAGAGAGGAAAUUAAAUGAAGGAAAGCUGUGCUCUAAAGAAAAUGCAAGACAAAAAGAUUGAUCUCUGCUAAGUGGAAAAGACUAGCAUUUAUAUUCAGAGAAAUAUCACUGUUUCAUUUCUAAAAAGUUUUCAGAAAAAAAAAAUAAAAAGAAGCAAAUGUCUGAACA